AAUUCUCGUUGUUUGAGAUACAGGCAGUCUGGAGGACAGAGCCUCUCAUUUUUUAAUCACAGAAAGGUACCUAAGAUUAAACUUUGAUUUAUCUUAACAAUAGAAAUGAAAAUAAACAGAUAUUCUAAGCAUGCAAUUAGUAAGAAGAAAUAAAACUGAAAUGAAACUUGUUCCAAAUAAAAGUUUAAUGACGGUGUAGUUAUGUACCGCCGCGCGCCGUGCCGCGGCUCAGUAACGACUGACUUGUCAUCGCCACGGUUUUAAUGUUUGAGCCUUGAGGUCGUUAAGUUUUAUUGCGGCACUGACUGACGAGCCAGUCGAGCCUGUGCCGGCGCUGACGUCGCGUUGCAUCGUAUCGUGUCGUGUCGAGUUGCGUCGCGUCGUGUCGCGUCGUGUCGUAUCGUGUGGCAGCGCGGUGGCGGUGGGCGCGGUGUCGACAGUACGUCGCUAUCUCGCGCCGUGUUUGUUUGUCCCAAUCAUUACCGCGCCGAUAAAACGUCGCCGCUUUAUCUUUGAUCUACUUUGUUAAACCUAUACCUAAUCAUCGUUUACUGUAUUUGAUUUCGGUAUCAAUAAUGUUGGCCUUAAAUUUUAUUUGUACAACAAUUUAAAAUGUCACGUUUAUAUUACAUUGAGAAUAUGUUCGGUUUUGAUCUAUCACGUAUGUAAAUUAAAGAUAUCCACCGAACGACUCGCUGCUUCGGACAUACUCGAGUAUGAAGACGCCGAUGGCACCACGCACACAAUGAGUAAACCAUCUGAUGAUACAAUUAUUCCAGCAGCAGUUCCCGGAGCUACGUCGGGUCGCCGCUGAGGGCGGGCGGCAGUCAGGGCGGCGGGCGGCAGUCAGGGCGGAGGGCGGCAGUCAGGGCGGCGGGCGGCAGUCAUGGCGGCGGGCGGCAGUCAGGGCGGCGGGCGGACGCUGAUGACAUUUUUAACUAGUGCGCGGAAAGUCGGCCGAACGAGCUGACUGUAUUACUUUUAGAAAAUUAGAGUAACUCGAUAAAAUUUCAAGUUUAUAUUUAAUUAAUCGUUGAUCAAUUAAUUAAAAAUAAACUUGAUAAAAUAAAAAAAACUGCAUCUUUAUAUUUUACCUAAAGUUUGACUAUAGUAUUCCACGAGCUCAUCAGUCAGCCGUCGCCGUGACUCGCGUUUGUCACUACGCUGCCACACCACGCCACACACCGCGAACAUCGGCGCCAUCGCCAGUAGCCAGUGGCCAGCCAAUUAGUUAUAUACCUUUAAGUACCUAGUUCUACGAAUUUCACUGAUCCACUCAACGAGCAGGCGUCAGCGCUGUGCCGUUGUUAGUUAUUUCCAUAGAAAUCGAUAUAACAAGGCGACGGACACGACGCGGUCGGCGGCCCACUCGACUACAGAGAGCUGCUGGCAGAGUUGUUGACUCAGGAUUUAAGUGUGACAGUUGAGACAUAAUGUAAUUUUUAUUUUGGACCUAUAAGUCACUUUUGCGGUGACAAAUUUACGCAUACGAGUACUUCCUAUCUACGUGCAGUCGAGGGCACCUCGUCGAGUAUUCCGCGGUGAAGGAUGGAUCACAUCGCUCCCUGCCUGUCCCUUCGCCUGCCGUGCGACGUGCGACGUGCCUGACCGCCCGGACGCUGAUGUGAUAAGUUUGACAGCAGAUUGUAGUCACGAGCGGUACAGAUGUUCAGGGCUUUGUGUAUGAUUGGACCGAUUUGAUUGUUUUUUAAAUUCUCGCUUUUUAAUUUUAUUUUUCUUUUACAUGAGAAUCCCCCAUCCCAUGUCUUAAAAUCUCGUUCUAUUCGCAAUCCAAUAAAAAAUAAAUAAAAAAUGAACGCAUUCCACAGACAAGAACGAUGCAUUUCAUUUCAAUUUAAAGUUUUUUAUUUAUUUUUCAAAACAAUCAGGGCCUUACCAAAACAAAAUUAUGACUUCACUUCUCAUCUCGCAACUUCAGUCCCGUCGUGACCACGAUCCAUGCAACAGGGUCGAAAUAUCGACAAUAAAAAUCUCGUCGUUUUAUCGUGGUACAUGAAUGCAGCAUGUGAGAGCACAUCCUUACGGUGCAGUGGGACACUCGCCGGUGACUCGGCCGCAAGCCGCAAGCCGCAAGCCGCGCCGAGUUCAUUUCCUCUGCCGCAAGUGACUUAGCAUCGAAAGGAAAUCGCCUCGCCGGCUGCUCCGAUAUCGCCUUUCAGUGCACAACUGCACAGGGCGACCGGCGGGAGGUUUGCUGCCUAUUCACAUUAAAAACUAUUCAAAAAUAACUAAUGGAAGCGAGAAAAUAACUAAACUGUUCUAGUAGAUCUAGACAGGGAUCACGUUUAAAAAUACAAUUAUCAAAAAUAUAUUUUAAUAAUGUACAAAUUACAAAUUGCUUGUCUACAAACUUUACGCACCGGUUCAAUUACAUUACAAAUACAUAUUAUACUCGACAAAACUACUACUUCUUUUUUCAAUUAAUUGCCGACUUUCCGUUAACAUGUAGCGACUCCUUUCCCUCUCGAUGUGCCAGUCGCUCCUCAGGUACUGAGUGAGGGAGUACUGUGGAGGUGCCUCACGUAUCCCAUCGCGCUGCUCACUCUUUAACACCAGUUAAGUAACAACAACUGCUCACGUAUAAGUUAAGUUAAUUAACAACUUAACUUGAAAAUCGUUACAAUACAGUAAGUAAGUACAAGAAGGUGCGUAAAAUUUAAAAAUAGUUUUAUACAUACAGCUGCAUUUUUAAUUUAGUAGCCGCGCGCCGCCCACGGCCGCCGAGGGUCGUCGACCCUCACCAAUUAGCGCGAGUUAGUGAGAGUUAGCGCGAGUUAGCGAGAGUUAGCGCCCACCGCGCGCCCACUGCCCAGCGGAGUUGCCCAACCCGCAGCGCAGCGCUGUUGCAAUGCUCGAACAGACCAAAGCCCGCGUAAUGAGGAAAGGCCGCGCGAAGUCGUCGCCGUGGCCUAGCGAGCAUGACUCACACUAGCACUGCGUCGCGACUGCACAUUAAACACACUCUUGAUAACAAUUCUCCUCCAAGAAGUCAUGAAGACUAAUGUUAGGACUGAGGAAUUAGUACGACAUAGCCUUAAAGACGAGGCUCAUUCCAUCCAUAGUUUUUAGGCGUUGAGUUUAUUGAGGCCUUAGCUUCGUGUACUGAAUUAAUCACUGUCUGUGGAGAGGCAGAGCGCAGGCAGUCGUGGUAGAGCUGUAAGUGCCGCGUGUCGAGUGACGCGGCGCCCGGCGGCGGGCGGCGAGAGGCGUGUUCGUUGCACUAGUGGUCAAGUAGGCAUGACAUGGGCUGUGACGCGUUUGUGUUUUUCUACUUCUGCUCGUUAUAUGAUAUAAACACUGAACCGUGACGCGCUGUACGUCCAACUUCAGCAGCUGCAGGUAGUCUCCUCCACAUAUCAUAAUACGACAGAUUGCUGUCGUUCGUGUCAAAUAAAGU